GCCACAGCCAUAUCACUCUGCAGCCCAAGACCGGUUGCUCGCUGGAGCUAAGCAGGGUUGAGUCUGGUCAGUACCUGGAUGGGAAACUUCCUGGGAAAACUAGGUUUCUGCUGGAA
rnacentral:rRNA from 1 species